AGACAAAUACUGCCACUUGGACAUUCCUGACUUUGAUCUGGAAAUCGCUGCAGUCUUCCAGAAGGGUUGCUAGAGCCACACCUACAACCAUGUCUUCCUUGUCUUUUACAAUCUUAUUCCCAUCUGUGUCCACACUAGAAAACCAUCUACGAUGCUCAUGACUGAAAAGGAAAUUGGAAGCAAAGGAAACAUAUCUUCAGAGUCCAGAUGGAGAGAUGAGGAUGGGCAGGGGUGAAGGAGGCUGAGACAAUACGGUGGAAAACGCAGCAUCACAUUUAGAGAACCGGGUACCUAAUAGAGUUUGGAAGACAAAAAGUCCAGUAGAGAUGAGAGGAGAGACAAGUAGUACCAGGAUUCCCUGAUCUCCACCUAAUGUUUGGCUGUGGAUCUGCAGCGGUUUCCAUCAGUUGCUGGAUGACUCCUCUAGGCACCAGUCUGGUCACAGGAGAUGGCCAGCUCAGGCUAUGUAUCUGCUAUUUCUAGGGGUCUAAGCUGUGGUCUUCCUUGUAGAUUUCUGGGAAUUCCCUUCAGCAGGGUUUUUAUCUGACUCCAAAAAGCCCCCUUUCCAAUAGUCUCUCUCAGUACUCCCCCCACCUCCCCACUCCCCCCGCAACCUAAUCGCUCCUGUUCUCUUCCCUGCCAAUCCUCACUCACUCCACCCAUGAAAUCUCUUCUAUUUCUCCUUCCUAGGGAGAGCUGAGUGUCCCUUCAUGAACCCUCCUGGUUACCUAGCCUUUCUGGCACUGUGGAUUGUAGCAUGGUUAUCCUUUACAGUUAAUAUCCACUUAAGAAUACCACUUGGGAUCCAGGUAUUCCAGGAAGUCUUCCCAAACCACAAAUGGAACUUACAGCAUCCUCUACAGAGUGGAAGAAUGGCAUAGACAUGCAUAUUUCUCCAUGUUCACGGUGCCUAUACUCCACAUGGAAAAGAGACAGCUUUAAUGGAGAAGCAGAGAACAUGGAGAAGAGAAAGCCAUUCUCACCUGGAAUCCCCGGGCUUGUGCCACAAGACGCAGUAAGUAGAAAAGUCCUGUGAGCAACCGUGCGUAUUGAGUGCAGGAAAGAAGAAAAGCAAGCUGGGAGAAAGCUCAGUCAAUUGGAGUACUUAAGCACUUAAAAACAAAAACUGGGAUGAUGGCACACACUCGUAAUCCAAGCACUUGGAAGAUGGUAGCAGGCAGAUCCCUGGGACUCGCUGGCCGGCUAGCCUAGCCACGUGGCUGAGCUCCAGGCUCUUGAGAAACUGGCUUUGAGAACCAAGGUGGACAGCUCCUAAGGAACAGCGCCUGAAGUUGUCCUCUGGCCUACACACACCUGGGUAUGCAUGCACACGCAAAUGUACGUGCACCCACCAACACAUGCACACCAAAGACGAGGAGGAGGAGGAGGGGGAGGAGGAGGAGGAGGCAGCAUCUGAGCAUGUUCAGUCGUUGAAAACAUGAAAGGUAGAGAAGGUCUCCCAAGGACAGUUAAUAGCACAGGAAGAGAAGACAGGACAAUGGCUUAGGAGGAGACUGAGGAAAAAUGUUAGGGAACAGAUAGAAAGGGAAGGAAACCAAAAUUGAGAUCAUUAAAGGAGCAGAGAAAGAAUUGGGGGUAAGGGGGUGUUUUAAGUAUUCACUGCUGCUGAAUGAAAACUACCCAGUAGAUCCCACAGUACAUAGGUUGCAUGUAGGUAUCCCCAAUUGAGGUCACAGUCAGUGGACUGUGUAGCUGAAAUUUUCCUGUGUCCCGCCCAGUCCUCAGCCACUCAGACCCAAGUAAACACACAGAGGCUUGUAUUAAUUAAAACUGCUUGGCCAUUAGCUCAGGCUUACUACUGACUAUCUCUUACACUUAAACUCAGCCCAUUUCUGUUAAUCUACAUGUUGCCACAUUUUCCGUGGCUUUACCUGUGUGCCGUUACAUGCUGCUUCCUGGAUGGUGGGCUGGCACCUCCUGACUCAGCCCUUCCUCUUCCCAGAAUUCUCCUUGUCUGUUUACCUUGCCUAUACUUCCUGCCUGGCUAUUGGCCAAUCAGCAUUUCAUUUGUCAACCAAUCAGAACAACACAUUAUUGGCGAAAUUAUUAAGGCCACUCCACGUAGUUAAAAGGAGAUUUAUUUAAUGGCAUAACUUACAAAUUAAGGGAUAGGUAGGUUGCGGGGUCUGGGGAAGGUGUAUCGCAGUCCAGCGGUGUUCUCUGGAGCUCUGCUUGGCCCACCUCCACCAUCCAGGGUCCCGGAACAGAGAGAGCCAGCGCAUCUGGAUCUCGGGUCUUCAGGGUCCUCUCUUGGCCUUGUAGGCGUGACAGUUACCGAAGUCUCAAUGGGGGUUGGAACUUCCAGAUCAAAGCUGGAAUGGCUACCCACUACAACACAUAUUCACAGCAUACAGAACAUCUUUUUA